rfam:Heligmosomoides polygyrus genome assembly, scaffold: HPBE_contig0001908
GCGCCGAUGGUGUAAUGGCGUAGAGCAUUCCCGCCCGGUUAGAGGGAGGUGCGGGUUCGAGUCCCGCCUGGCGCU